UACGUAGGGGGCAAGCGUUGUCCGGAUUUAUUGGGCGUAAAGAGCGUGUAGGCGGCUUGGUAGGUCCGCUGUGAAAACUCGAGGCUCAACCUCGAGAUGUCGGCGGAAACCACUUGGCUAGAGUCCGGAAGAGGAGAGUGGAAUUCCCGGUGUAGCGGUGAAAUGCGCAGAUAUCGGGGAAGAACACCUAUGGCGAAGGCAGCUCUCUGGGACGGUACUGACGCUGAGACGCGAAAAGCGUGGGGGAGCGAACAGG
rnacentral:rRNA from 1 species